rnacentral:misc_RNA from 1 species
UGUAGGAGCCGGCUUGCUGGCGAUGGCGGCCGCAAUGGCGAUGCAUGGCUCGCGGGCCUCAUCGCCAGCAAGCCGGCUCCUACA